AAGCGUGCGCAGGCGGUUUUGUAAGUCAGAUGUGAAAUCCCCGAGCUCAACUUGGGAACUGCGUUUGAAACUACAAGACUAGAAUAUGUCAGAGGGGGGUAGAAUUCCACGUGUAGCAGUGAAAUGCGUAGAGAUGUGGAGGAAUACCAAUGGCGAAGGCAGCCCCCUGGGAUAAUAUUGACGCUCAUGCACGAAAGCGUGGGGAGCAAACAGGAUUAGAUACCCUGGUAGUCCACGCCCUAAACGAUGUCUACUAGUUGUUGGUGGAGUAAAAUCCAUGAGUAACGCAGCUAACGCGUGAAGUAGACCGCCUGGGGAGUACGGUCGCAAGAUUAAAACUCAAAUGAAUUGACGGGGGCCCGCACAAGCGGUGGAUUAUGUGGAUUAAUUCGAUGCAACGCGAAAAACCUUACCUGGCCUUGACAUGUAACGAACUUUCCAGAGAUGGAUUGGUGCUCGAAAGAGAGCGUUAACACAGGUGCUGCAUGGCUGUCGUCAGCUCGUGUCGUGAGAUGUUGGGUUAAGUCCCGCAACGAGCGCAACCCUUGCCAUUAAUUGCCAUCAUUUAGUUGGGCACUUUAAUGGGACUGCCGGUGACAAACCGGAGGAAGGUGGGGAUGACGUCAAGUCCUCAUGGCCCUUAUGGCCAGGGCUUCACACGUAAUACAAUGGUCGGUACAGAGGGUUGCCAAGCCGCGAGGUGGAGCCAAUCCCAGAAAGCCGAUCGUAGUCCGGAUUGUAGUCUGCAACUCGACUACAUGAAGUCGGAAUCGCUAGUAAUCGCGGAUCAGCAUGUCGCGGUGAAUACGUUCCCGGGCCUUGUACACACCGCCCGUCACACCAUGGGAGUGAGUUUUACCAGAAGUAGGUAGUCUAACCUUCGGGAGGACGCUUACCACGGUAGUAUUCAUGACUGGGGUGAAGUCGUAACAAGGUAA
rnacentral:rRNA from 1 species